UACGUAGGGUGCGAGCGUUAAUCGGAAUUACUGGGCGUAAAGCGUGCGCAGGCGGUGAUGUAAGACAGAUGUGAAAUCCCCAGGCUUAACCUGGGAACUGCAUCUGAUACUGGAUGGCUUGAAUCCGGGAGAGGGAUGCAGAAUUCCAGGUGUAGCGGUGAAAUGCGUAGAUAUCUGGAGGAAUACCGGUGGCGAAGGCGGCAUCCUGGACCGGCAUUGACGCUGAGGAGCGAAAGCUAGGGGAGCAAACGGG
rnacentral:rRNA from 1 species